rnacentral:rRNA from 1 species
UACGUAGGGUGCGAGCGUUAAUCGGAAUUUCUGGGCGUAAAGCGUGCGCAGGCGGUUUUGUAAGUCAGGUGUGAAAUCCCCGGGCUUAACCUGGGAACUGCGUUUGAAACUACAAGGCUAGAGUGUGGCAGAGGGGGGUGGAAUUCCACGUGUAGCAGUGAAAUGCGUAGAGAUGUGGAGGAACACCGAUGGCGAAGGCAGCCCCCUGGGAUAAGACUGACGCUCAUGUACGAAAGCGUGGGGAGCAAACAGG